GGAAAAGGCAGGGGCAGCAGAGGGGGAGGGGCGGGAGAGGAAGGGUGAAACGAACUGGAUUUUCAUUUCUGAGAAUCUGACUCCUUGUACCCUUGUGAUAGUCCCUAGAUUAGUAGCUAUCACGUACAGAACUCAUAUCAACAUAAUAUCAUUUCCAUACAACGAAAUCAGAGUACAUAUUUGAUAUUCCAUCCAAUUCAACUCGGUAUAUGAAUAUUGUACAUGCCUCUUGGGGUAAAUGACAAACAAAACUCAUACGCAGCGGUAGCUAGGGCUUCAAGUCUUAAUCUCCGAUCUUCACCAUAGGCAUCCUUGAGCGAAGCAACGCGACCCUUCCUUCAUGAAUUCUUCAUCAUCAGACUUUCACUCCAAGUCCAAACCUGCACACUCACGAACUGUCCCCAAGGAAUGGGACAAGUCCACGUCACCAUCCGUAUACAAGCUUUAAGUGGCCUAAUACUAGUAUUCAAAAGUAGUUAAGGAAUAGGCUCGGGUUUCCUAUGCAGCAGGAAGCAUAAAGAAAAAAAUUUCCAUAUCCAUCAACCCAUCUCUUAUCACAUUGGGAUCACCGGGCACCCCUAGGUCCCUAUCACCAUCAUCCUAUCUCCACCACUAGGGUCGAGGCGAAGACUCCCUCUCUUUGCCUCUCAACAACUACAGUCAAAUCCUAAAGGAAAUGGGAGCAACUUCUCCUCU
rnacentral:lncRNA from 1 species